rnacentral:rRNA from 1 species
UACGUAGGGUGCGAGCGUUGUCCGGAAUUAUUGGGCGUAAAGAGCUCGUAGGCGGCUUGUCGCGUCUGCCGUGAAAGUCCGGGGCUCAACUCCGGAUCUGCGGUGGGUACGGGCAGACUAGAGUGAUGUAGGGGGAGACUGGAAUUUACGGUGUAGCGGUGAAAUGCGUAGAUAUCAGGAGGAACACCAGUGGCGAAGGCGAGUCUCUGGACAGUUACUGACGCUGAGGCACGAAGGCCAGGGGAGCAAACGGG